GAGAGUGUUCAGGCAGCUGCCCGAGCUCCCGGUAGAGGCCUGACAGCUGAUGAAGCGCCAGCCCCUGGCACUGCUGGGAACUAAGAAUCCGGCCGGCCUCCGUGACUCAUUUUCUUCAUCUGUACGAUGAGACCAUCGGACUGGAUGUUCUCGAAGGCUCCUUCCAGCGCUGGUGAAUCAACAGUUCCUCCUCCACUCUCUACUCUCCCCCAUCCCCCACGACCCCCCACCCCACCCCAGGGAUGUGUAUAUGGGUCUUCCUGCUGCCACCAUGCCUUUGGUCUCCACCCUCCCCCACGGUUGCUGGAAACCCUCACGCCAUAGUUGCCUCGUUCACUCCUUCACUCGUUCAACAAACAUCUCAAGGAUGCCUGUUUGGGGAAUGCAGAGAUAAGAAGGCAUGGCCUGGGCUCCAGAAGCUCACAGAUUUAGGGAGAGAGAGACCCGCCAACAAAUAACUGGAUCAAGAGCUUGAUACCCUAAAGGCAGGAACAGACCUAGGGCUGGAGGAAUCCAGAGGCGGGAGUGGCCACUGCAGCUGGGGAUCGGGGAAGGCUCCUAGAAGUAGGAGGCAGCUGAGCUGGGCCUGGAACCACGAGCUCUCCGGAACCUGUGGAGGUGGAGAGGGCAUGCCUUGGGGCCGAGGGGGGCCCGGGGAGGAGGGUCCACUGGAGUCAAGGACAGUGAUGGGAGCAGAGGUUGGAGGGUGGCGGCAGGAGAGGAUGGCAAUUCCAGGUGGAGCCGUUCGCCAUUCUGAAGGCCUUCCAAGUGCUACGAGCUGGUGGACAUGGUCAUGGGAUCCUCUUGGUGGGGAGUUCUGUUUCCUUAAUUCAAUACUGUGUCCUCAGAGCCAGGAACUGGGCAUGGCACAUAGUAGGUGUUGAGUAAGCAUGUAUGGAAAGAGGGAGGGAAUGGUCAGAUUUGAAUUGUAUAUAUGGUGGGAUGGACUGGAGGGGGCCAGACCCAGGCAGGCCAGCUGGUGAGGAGGUGGGCCUAGGAGGUGUCGUGGUUAGAGGCCAGGAGUGGGGGUGGGGCAGAAAAGGAAGUGGCACUGCCUGGUCACCUGGUUGCAGCCUGGCUGUCAGGUGCAGAUGAGGAAAGCGGUCCGGCUGGGCAGUGAGGGAAUGGAAGGGGGGAAGGGGAAGGGGCAGCUUUGGGCUCGUGUGAGACAGGCUGAACUUUCAUGCCCACCUUGGGGUAUGUUUCAUGCCCCCAUCCCCUCCAAGAGGUGGCAUCUCCAGAGCAGGGCCAAGUCUGCUUUCCCUAUAGCCCCAACCCCUACCCAGCUGUUUUGUUUUUUUUUUUUGGCCGUGCCACAAGGCAUGCAGGAUCUUAGUUCCCCGACCAAGGAUUGAACCAGUGCCACCUGUAUCGGAAGCGUGAAGUCUUAACCACUGGACCUCCAGGGAACUCCCAGCCUGAGGCCUAGUUUUGCUGAACCUGUGUAAAGCGUUAAAGAGAUCACUGACACUUCUUUGACCAGCUUCCUCAGAUCAGAAACAGAGCCACCGGCCAAAGGCCUCCUCAGGUGCCCCUUCCGGUCUGAGGGAAUAGAAAGUAGAGAGGGGUCAUGUGCUGACACAGCCCUAGCCUUCAGAGCAUGGCACCCCUGCUCUGCAGCCCAGACCAGACCAAGGACAUCUGUGUCAUGGCACGUGCAGCCCAGAGCCGUGGCCAUGUCCGCUGCCCUCUCAGCAGAGGUGGGCCAGGGUUCUUGACCUGUGGAGCCCUAAAGGAUUGCAGAGUGCCUGUGAGGUCUGAAGUUGCCUGCAGAUGGUGGGCGUGUGCACAUUCUUCCGAGGAAAGGGUUCCCAACUUCCAUCAGAUUCCCAAAGAGCAGCUGAUUCAAAGCAAGGUUAAAAUCUAUCACUAAAAGAAAAGGAGAAGGAAGAUGAGGAGGAGGAAGAGGAGAGUGUAUGCAUUUGUUUAGGUCUCUAUAAAAGAAAGAAAUUCAGGGCUUCCCCGGUGGCACAGUGGUUGGGAGUCCGCCUGCCGAUGCAGGGGACGUGGGUUCGUGCCCCCGGUCCGGGAAGAUCCCACAUGCCGCGGAGCGGCUGGGCCCGUGAGCCAUGGCCGCUGAGCCUGCACGUCCAGAGCCUGUGCUCCGCAACGGGAGAGGCCACAACAGUGAGGGGGCCGCGUACCGCAAAAAAAAAAAAAAAGGAAAGAAAUACAGUGUGAGUAGCUAUUAAAAAAAACCCACACCAAGCUCUCCCUUUCCAAUCCCCAUCCUAGCACCCAUCCGGGGCUGGACACAUGGUGUUUUCUUUUAAGUGGCCACUUAUGACUCGCUCUAUGGCAGGCCCUGUGCCGAGCACUCUCAGGACAACAUCCCCUUUCAGCUUCCUCACAGCCCGGCGUGGAGCCUGGAUUCACAGCCAGUGUUGCUCUGCGCUGUGUUCCAGCGGUUCUGAACACUCCACCGCUAUGGAGGGUCCUGCACAUGGGCCUGUCCUAUCCCCUGUUCACUGCUGAAGCAAUGCCGGGUGUCUGGGCGUUGGGCGGAAUGGGGUUAUUCAAAGCCCACAGGGCAUCCCGGCUAGGAAGAAGGCCUUUCUGGGUCCCUGUUUUUCUCCCCACCAAGCUGCAGGCUCCACAGACUCACGCGUGGAGACACGAGGUGGACGUGCUGGGUCCUGGUCCCUUGGUGCCAGCUCUUCUCCUGAUCCUGAGAAGUCUGAGUCCCUCUCAUUUCUCAGACGCAAGGACCCCAGGACCCUCUGCCUUCCCCACACUCCCCAGGUACCCAAAUCCACAGAGGCCUGGUCUCACCACCUGCCAUCCGGGCACCAAGUGUUUAUUAGAGUCCAAUUUUUAUCCGCACCGCGGAGAAGGAGGAGGAAACAAAGAGGGGGAACCCGGACCAGACCCCAGACCCCUCCCCCCACCGGAGCCCAGGGCAUCUGCCCUGUUGGGCCAAGGAAGACUUCGUGAGAUCCCUGAGGGCCCCAGGAGGAGGGGGCUGGGAGCAGCAGUAGAGGGCUGGGGGCCGCUGCUUCCCCAUCCAUGCCCCAGGCCAAGGCCCUCAGUCUAGAUUGUACCCUUUCUUUGAAGGGGUGUAGCGCCCCUCUCUGGAAGAGGAGGAGGAAGUGCUCCCUUUGGCUCCCUGCUCCCUUGGGCAGCCCCAAAGGGCACGUGACCCUAGGCCUGCUGCCAUCCGGCCCAGGUCCCAGCCACUGGGCGCACCGGGGCUCCCCGAGGCCGCUCAGUCAGCCGACUGCAUUGCUCUUCCCCUCACAGGCUCCUCCUCCGUCUACCCUUUCUCCCUUCCACCUCCUGACCCGAACCCCUUUUGAUCUCAGGGUCAGAUGCAGCUGUGGUCUGUAUAUCCCACCUCUCGUCAUGCAGAAGGCCUGGCUGGCGUGGCCUUGGCCCAGGGCAUGGGGCGAGGGCUGGAGGGGAGAGCCUGGCCUGGAGAGGUGCGACCAAGGGUGAGCUCCCUGGCCCCUCAGGCUGGGGCUUAGGGGCCCACCCAGUCUGGGCACUCCUGGGCCAGGGGAGGGGUCUGGGGAGGCUUUGGGGCCAGCCUCCAGCCCUCAGCCAGGGUCCUCCUGCAGCCGGCUCGAAGGAAGUGGUUCCUCAGCCUGGAUGGUGGUGCACCAAGGGUUAGGCCAUUCUUCCUCCUGUCUAACUUAGCUCCGGCUUGCUGUCCCAUCUCCGUGUCCGCCCAGUGGUAGAGAGGAGCUGAGGGUCCUAUGGAGUGGCAGGGGAGGCUCCCAGGUCUGGCACCGUCAAAGGUGUCCCUGGGUCCACUGAGCUGAGGUCCCCAGGCUGGUGAGCUGGCAUCAAGCAGGAAGCGGGGCAGGGUGAUCCCUGUGUUCGAAACGGCUCUUUGUUCCCUGGCCAUGGUGGGCGAGCAGGAGGUGAGGGCGGGGGCCCUCUAGAAGCAGCAGAAUCCAGAUCCUCUUUGUCUUCAGGGCCCCCGCCCUCAAGGUCUUCCCUGGACCCGAGACCUCUUUGUAGCAGUGGGGUGCAGGGCCCCUGCGGCUCCUGGGUCCUGACCCCUCGCCUCUCCCUGUGCCAGGGGGCACGAAACUGGGUCUGCUGGGCUCAGAAGCCCCCACUCUCUGAGCUGCUUCGGCUGUGGUAGCUGGGACUGGGGGUCCGGGAAGGGCUGCGAGUGCGGCUGCGGGUCCGACUGCGGCUGCUGUAGCUUCCAUGGCUGUGGCCCGGGCUGGGGCUCCGGCUUGAGUAGUCGCUGCUCAGGCAGCUGGAGGAGGACGAGGGGCUGGGCCGGUAGUAGGGGAUGGGACGCUUUCGGGCACUGCCGGGAGGGAAGAGCUGAUUACAGGCCAGCCAAGGCCCUGAGCUGUGCCAGUCCUGGGCCCUCACUCAGGCCCUGAGCCCCUCCCCAGCAGUGGCCAGGGCUUCCCUGCCUCAGUUUCCCCUGAGCCUUGACCUUGGAAUUCUCCCCACCUCCACCCCUGCUCCAGCAAGACUGGACAUGCAGUGGUCCAAUUUCAUGUUGAUCACUUUGUUUUUCCUCACU